GACGAACGCUGGCGGCGUGCUUAACACAUGCAAGUCGAACGGAAAGGCCCUGCUUUUGUGGGGUGCUCGAGUGGCGAACGGGUGAGUAACACGUGAGUAACCUGCCCUUGACUUUGGGAUAACUUCAGGAAACUGGGGCUAAUACCGGAUAGGAGCUCCUGCUGCAUGGUGGGGGUUGGAAAUUUUCGGCGGUUGGGGAUGGACUCGCGGCUUAUCAGCUUGUUGGUGGGGUAGUGGCUUACCAAGGGUUUGACGGGUAGCCGGCCUGAGAGGGUGACCGGCCACAUUGGGACUGAGAUACGGCCCAGACUCCUACGGGAGGCAGCAGUGGGGAAUAUUGCACAAUGGGCGGAAGCCUGAUGCAGAAACGCCGCGUGCGGGAUGACGGCCUUCGGGUUGUAAACCGCUUUAGCCUGUGACGAAGCGUGAGUGACGGUAAUGGGUAAAGAAGCACCGGCUAACUACGUG
rnacentral:rRNA from 1 species